GGGUCAAAUAUUGAGAAUUCUCAUGCUGCAACUGCAUAAGCAAGAAUCCAACUUUCAGAAAGUAUAUUUAUUGGUUAGUUUAUGUUGUUUGUUAUUUUGUUGAUGAGGGUUUUAAUUUUAAAUAUUUGUCGUUUGAUCCUAUGUUGUGACAGCUCAUCAAAGGUUACUGAAGUUGUUCGUUCUCGUUGUCUUAAUGUGCAAAUAAGUGCACCAAAGAAGACCAGGUCAGUAUUUGCAGUUUCACUUUUAGUAGGGAUGAAUAACUGAUUGAUUAUACAUAGGAAUAUUAAUAGGGAUUUAUGCCGAACUUUGUUUUCUUUUUCAGAUUGUUAGGGUUCUGGAAUUUAUUGGCAAAAAGGAGUUAAGAUCAGUCUUGCACUUUUUCUUGUGGUUUCUUGUGUCCAGCAGUUAUGAUCAGUUAAGACCUUCUCAGUGGUCCAUAAUGGUCUAUAAAAAUGUUCAAAGAUCAAAUCGCAAAAGAGAAAUUUCUGAAGACUAAUAUGCAAACAUGGUAUUUUCUUUCACCAACAUGUUUUUUAUAUAUUUUUUGGUCGGAAUCGAAAUUCAAUUCCAUUCUAGUCUUGUAUUUAGUUUAGCUUCAAAUGAGUAGACAAUAAUGUCCUUCAUCAACAGAAAAUCAUGUUUCCAACAAAUACCAUGUCUUAUUCCCUUGCAGGAAAAAGUAAGUAGAACUUGGUUCGCUUAAUUCCAUGGGGUUUAACGGGAAUCGGAAUCCAAUUCCAUUAUGGUCCAUUCGGAUGCAAUGCAAGAUAUGAAGCAAUGGGAAUAUGUAUGUGGAAACUCAAAAUAUGAGACAAAAUUGAGAUUAUGGUACAUUAUACUUCGAAAUAAAAAUCAAUAAAUAUUAAACUUUGAUAUUUGAUGAUUUUGAUCAUUUUGGUAAACAUUGAUAUUUGAUGUUUUUGGAUGUUUUGUUAAAUUUUGAUAUUUGAUUUUAGUAUUUUAAUGUUAGUGUUUGGUUUUGGAU
rnacentral:lncRNA from 1 species